GUGAAACCCCGCCCUCCGCCAUUGUGCUGCAACCAGAAGAAGAUGCCAUGACUGUAAAAUAAAACAUCCCCUGGAAAUCAGCCCUAAUGCGUUUUUUUUGGAGCAAAAAUUAAUAUUUGACCCUGCCUUAUUUUCAGGGAAACACGUUAUGUCUAUGCACACAUUGUAUUUAGGUCAGAAACUGUCAGUCAUUCAAAAGGAUGUAUUCUAUAUUUUUAAUUUUUGCCACAGCAUUUCUGAUUCUUUCCUUGGCUUUUACUCUGAUUCUCUCUGAGCCAUGUUGUGCUCCCUUUCUUUUCAGGCUGGCCUGUUUCCUCCCUAUUCCCUCGUGGCAAAGCGAGUCCUCCACCCCUUCCGUCCACCUCACCGUCUUCUGCUUCACCUCCGUGAGGGUAUAAUUUCCACCGAAGGGGCCUAUGACUUUCAUUCAGAUCUGCCACAAAGAAGAGGAGGAGGAAGACCCAACAUCAAAUGGAUUGACUCCAUAAAGGAAGUCAUGGGCUUGAUUUUGCAAGACUUAAGCAGGGCUCUUAGUGACAGGAUGUUCUGGAGGCCACUGGUUCAUUUUUGGGGAGGGGGGGAGACCUCCAUAAAUGGAAGUGACUUGGUGGCAGGUCACAGCUACUUGCAACGACUUGCAUGGCUUUCUGGCAGACUGUUGUUUAGUGCACCAAGUCUAUUCUAACACUAGAGUAGGCCCACUUGAAUCAAUGGAAUCUAUCCCCACUGAUUCCAUGAGCCUCCUCUAAUGCAUCUUGUUAAAACUAAGCAACAGGACUUCAGCCUCUUUCUCAUGCCAGUAAUUGGCAUACUUCACACAGGCAGGAGCGUGCGCACACACACACACAGAGGCAGCUGUACAAUAAGCGUGUGUGGAAGUGUAGUGAUAGGCACCAACAGAUGGCUGGCCUACAGCUGUGCUUCCAACGAGAAAGGCCUGUAAAUCUGUUAGUACUAUAGAUAAAGAACCUGCUUCAUCUUGUAUUCAGUAGGGCAGGGGGAGUCCAACUGGCUCUCCUGUCUUGCACCCCCCCCAACAGCAAGUAAGUCUGUGUCUUUACCAGCUGUAAAGUAAAGCCUCAAGCAGACCUUUGGAGUUACAGAGGGCCCCCUUUUUUUGUCAGUUUGCUCUCCUGAGCAGGGAGGCCUUCCUGUUGCUUCCCUGCAGAUGGGGCAGCUUUCUUCAUUCAUGCUCCGACUCCCAGGCGUUAAUUCUCUUCUGGAGCAGCACCACUGAAGCCAUUUAUCAUCCCUCUUCUGCUGAACCGUCUGAAGAAUCUCAUGUGGUUUCAAUCUUUGUCAAUUAGAUUAGAGUGUAUUGCGUCAAAUGGAUUUAAUCUGCUGUCUUUCUUGGACUGUAUUAAUCAAUAAACUGCCACCAAAUGACCA
rnacentral:lncRNA from 1 species